rnacentral:rRNA from 1 species
CCUACGGGGUGCAGCAGUCGGGAAUAUUGCGCAAUGGACGAAACUCUGACGCAGUGACGCCGCGUAUAGGAAGAAGGUUUUCGGAUUGUAAACUAUUGUCGGUAGGGACGAUGAAAGCCUGUACCUUAGGAGUAAGACCCGGCGAAAUAUGGACAAGCAGCCGCGGUAAUACAUAGGGGGCAAGCGUUAUCCGGAAUUAUGGGGUGUAAAGGGAUCGUAGGCGGAAGAACAAGUUGGUUGUGAAAUCGCUCGGCUCAACUGAGGAACUGCACCCGAAACUAAUCUCCUUGAGUGUCGGAGAGGGAAGUGGAAUUCCUAGUGUAGCGGUGAAAUGCGUAGAUAUUAGGAGGAACACCAGUGGCGAAGGCGACUUUCUGGACGAUAACUGACGCUGAGGUACGAAAGUGUGGGGAGCAAACAGGAUUAGAUACCCCAGUAGUC